rnacentral:rRNA from 1 species
UACGGAGGGUGCGAGCGUUGUCCGGAAUCAUUGGGCGUAAAGGGCGCGUAGGUGGCCCGGCAAGCGUGCGGUGAAAGUCGGGGGCUCGACCCCCGAUCGGCCGUGCGAACUGCGGGGCUGGAGCACUGUAGAGGCAGGCGGAAUUCCGGGUGUAGCGGUGGAAUGCGUAGAGAUCCGGAAGAACACCGGUGGCGAAGGCGGCCUGCUGGGCAGUUUUGCUGACACUGAGGCGCGACAGCGUGGGGAGCAAACAGG